AUGCAAUGUUUUUCUGUCAGAAAAUGUCAUAUUGAAGCAUUCCAUGGGAAACAUCAAAAUUUUGGCUUUUUGUUCUGAUUUGGAACCAAAAUUUGGAACGUUAGAAUUUCCCUCAGAAUGGAAUUUUUUUGUCCGAACCAGCUCUAGAUAAUACUUAGCCCCAUUAUUGUUGCACAGUAGAAAGUUUAUAGAUUGGUUACUUUAAAAAUAGAAACAGACCAACUGAUCUUUUUAAGUCAAGAUCUACAGCACCUGAAAAUUAGUAUCCAUUCUUUCAGACUAGAGAACAUCACCAGGGAAGAAAAUCACUCAGAAAAGUAUUGAGAUGAACUGGAAAAAAACGACUAUUAAAAAAACUUGUUGGGAGUGGGGACUUUCUACACUUGAUCCUUCUUUUGCAAUAUUUUGCAAACAUGGAUAUUUGCAAGAUGGAGACUGGUCACAAAGGAGCUCACUGAUGCAACAGGGAGUGAAGAACACAAUGGAGGAGGAGAAGAGGGAAGAUGAAGAUGACGGUAACAGGAAGACAGGGGUUGCAGGCAUUUGAAGGGAACAAUACAUCUAAGAACGAAUCAUCCUCCCCCGUUAAGCUUUGAAGCCACAACUAUUUUCUGUGAACUGGAAAAACUACAAUGAAUACAGAUCAUUUGUAAAGCUCUUGCACUUUUUGCCAGCUCUUCUUUUUUUGGAGAGCUACACUUAGUUCUGUUGAUCAUAACUAAGAAUUUCACAGUGAG